CCUAAAAUUUAUAUUUAUAUAUAUUAUAAUAAAACCAAAAAUCUUGCAGUUGCCGUUCUCAUUUUGUUCUUUCAUUCUCCAAAACUCAAAUCUCUCUCUCUCUAAAACUUUCUCUCUCAUCACUAUCACCGGAAUCUCGCUGUUUCCGUCGCCGCCGGUAAGUUCAAUAUCACAGCUAUUAACACCAGAGUUCUCACUACUGGACUUUUUGUGUUUUUUUUUUGAUUCUGAUCCGUUCUUAGAAUUGAAGUAUUUGGCGUUAUUUUUUUCGCUCUUUUUGUUAAUUUUGCUGUUUUUUUGUUUUGUUUUUGUAACUGUAUGCUAUCGAUCGUUUCGUUUUGUGUAG